GACGAACGCUGGCGGCGUGCUUAACACAUGCAAGUCGAACGGAAAGGCCCUGCUUGCAGGGUACUCGAGUGGCGAACGGGUGAGUAACACGUGGGUGAUCUGCCCUGCACUUCGGGAUAAGCCUGGGAAACUGGGUCUAAUACCGGAUAGGAGCCAUUUUUAGUGUGAUGGUUGGAAAGUUUUUUCGGUGUAGGAUGAGCUCGCGGCCUAUCAGCUUGUUGGUGGGGUAAUGGCCUACCUAGGCGGCGACGGGUAGCCGGCCUGAGAGGGUGGACGGCCACAUUGGGACUGAGAUACGGCCCAGACUCCUACGGGAGGCAGCAGUGGGGAAUAUUGCACAAUGGGCGCAAGCCUGAUGCAGCGACGCCGCGUGGGGGAUGACGGCCUUCGGGUUGUAAACUCCUUUCGCUAGGGACGAAGCUUUUGUGACGGUACCUAGAUAAGAAGCACCGGCUAACUACGUGCCAGCAGCCGCAGUAA
rnacentral:rRNA from 1 species